CGGUGGAUUGUGAGAGCAACAACAUGCGUACAGUAAUAACAUUACUGUAGAGGAGCCCAACCCGGACUACACCUAGGCUGCCAAAAGCGGUUGGGUUUUGUUUGAAGCGGAGAGUGUCGACACAUUAAUACGACGUGCUCCGUAUGCAAGCGAGUCACAGCACAUCUCUUCUGUUGCACGUCUACGUCUUCCAGCAGCCCAUCAUUUAGACCUUCCUCCGUCCGGAAUCGAGUCCGCUGAUCCGCGGCCGAUCUCAUUUAAGAGAGUGUAUUCGAGGCUUCCAAUUGUUGAAUUGAUGGAGGCUGGCGCUGCGUUCUUCCAUCGGUUCUUCUUUCUUUGUAGUUCACGAUAGAUCAAUUCUUCGUGAGAUUCGUGUGAGCGCAUAUACAUACAGGAGAAAAACAAUUCAUUGUUAGAUUAUUAAUUGAUGAUUGCAAGAAGACAAGAUCAAUCAAUCAAUCUCCCUGAUUAGUUUCUUUCCUUUUUGUACGAGGAACAUCUCGUCUUCGCCGUGAAUCGCGUGGUGGCCGAAACUCUAGUAGCCAACUUCUCCAGACUUCUCCGGUCAUCGUCUGCGGCAAUUGCAGAUCGCCGGAGUGGCCUCCUCUGGCCAUAGAGAGGCCUUGCCGUUUGCCGCCGCUGUCGUCGGCAGUCAUGUGGCGGAUUGAAGCGCCGGAGGGCGCCGCUUCGACGCGCCUACAGAGGAGGGCGUCGUCAACCAUGGGGUGCCUCAGCCGCCUGCAUCGCGCGCUGGUGCUGCGCCGCUGGAGCGCUGUCGAGGCCGAGGGUCCUUGUGUCCUUGGGGCCGGAGGGAGUCGCCGCCACAGCCGUGUAUCAGGCCGAUGGUCAGGGACGGUGGUGCCGUCGAGUUCUUGGCCUAAUUGCUCUCUGGAAGAGGCGUGUGUGAUAACGUGUAAAGAUGAAAAGAGAGAGAGAGGAGCGAAUGAUGGGAAUAAACAGUAUCUCUUUAUUUUU